CAUCUAACUAGGGUUUUCAUGGGUAUAUAUUUGCAGUGACGCUUCACUUCUUUUCUUGUCACCGUCACCGUAAAUCCGGCGAUUAGGGUUUUGAGGAAAAGCAUUUCUCCGCCAUGAGAGCCAAGUGGAAGAAGAAGCGUAUGAGGAGGCUGAAGAGGAAGAGACGAAAGAUGAGACAGCGAUCUAAGUAGAGAGAAAGUCUUCGCCUUUCAAUCUGCAUUUCUGUUUCUGUUACCUUCCCUAAGUACUUUUGUUUGAUCUUGUUUCAGUUUUAUGUUUUGUUGGCUUCGGCUUGUCGGAUUUGUAUUGAUCCUUCAUAAAUGUUAAACCUUUAUCUAUCUAAUCACAUUUUCACCAA